AGACUCACCCAGAAGGUGGCAGGUGGGCUGCCUGGUGCUUAUAAUGAAGCUGCAGGGAACAAUGUGGUCCUGCCUUGAAAAGAGAGGAUAAGAACUGCCUCUGACUUCCACAGUGUAUGUAUGCACAUGGAACACACACAGAAAAGGACAUAAAAGGGCAAUCAUCAACUCUCCAUGUCUGUGUUUGCUUUUCCCUUUGGUCAGGAUCCCAUUCUAAUUGGGCAUGAAUGAUAAACACUGUCAAGUACGUUUUUCCAUCACACCUCAUUUUUAGAUAUGGGAAAGUGUUAGAAAGCAACAAUAUUGUUACCGGCGCCAAUAAAUAAAUGAUUUACAAAAACUAGAUGGCACAGGCAGCAGGUGAGAUGGCUCAGUGGGUAAAAGUGCCUGAAAACCGGAGUUUGAAUCCUAGGACUCACUUGACGGAUGAUGAGAAUCAACUCUUCUAUAUGUUCCAUGGCCUGUACAUGUGAGCGCUCAUUGAGUGUAAGGUUCCUGCACUCUGGUUAACUGAAGGCACGAAGACAGUACAAUAUGGGACUUGAGAGAUGGUUGAGUACUCAAGAGCUCUUGUUGCUCUUGCAGAAGACCAAGGUUUGAUUCUCAGCACCUGUGGUUGGAUUUUUCUUUGAGCCACCAGCCAGCUCCUAAAUAAAGACAUGGAGACUUAACAACAGGAAAUGAAGUAAGAUACAGGGUUGUAUCUUGAACAUAUGUGAGACCUGAAAGCCCACCUCCACAGGGACACAUUUCCUCCAACAAGACCACACCUUUUGUAGUACUUAAGGUAAUUCUGAUGCUAGAUGAUCUCUGAGAUUUGAGGAAUAUGGACAUGCAGGACUUGAUGUCUUAAUGGCAGGUUUGGUUUCCAGUUGUUAUUUAUUUGCUUAUUUACCAG
rnacentral:lncRNA from 1 species